GGACCCGCACAAGUAGUGGAGCAUGUGGUUUAAUUCGAAGAUACGCGCAGAACCUUACCAACACUUGACAUGUUCGUCGCGACUUUAAGAGAUUAAAGUUUUCGGUUCGGCCGGACGAAACACAGGUGCUGCAUGGCUGUCGUCAGCUCGUGUCGUGAGAUGUUGGUUAAGUCCCGCAACGAGCGCAACCCUCACUUUUAGUUGCCAUCAUUAAGUUGGGCACUCUGAAAGAACUGCCAGUGAUAAGCUGGAGGAAGGUGGGGAUGACGUCAAGUCCUCAUGGCCCUUACGUGUUGGGCUACACACGUGCUACAAUGGGGAAAUACAGACGGAGCGCUAAGCCGCGAGGUGGUG
rnacentral:rRNA from 1 species